AUUUAGUUUAGGAUUAGGAUUUGAUUUAGGGUUUGGAUUAGGAUUUGGUGUAGGAUUUAGGGUUUGGUUAGGGUUUUAUUUAGGAUUUAGGGUUUAGAAUUUGGAUUAGGAUUUGAUUAGGAUUUGAUUUAGGAUUUAGGAUUUGCUUUAGGAUUUGGUUAGGAUUUGGUUUAGGAUUUUGUUGGGAUUUAGUUUAAGGUUUGUUUAGGGUUUGAUUUAGGAUUUAGGAUUUUAUUAGGAUUUAAGAUUUAAUUAGUUUUGGUCUAAAGUUUGAAUGAAGUUCAAUAGGAUUUUAACUAGAGUUAAAUUGAGAUUGAAUUGAGAUGUAUUUGAGUGAUAUUUGUGAUUCUUCUAAUAUUUCUUUAAGAAUUCUUAUUGUUUGUUUGAAAUUUCUUUGAGGUUUUUUUGAAUUUGAUUAAGCUUGCUUAGCAUUAAU
rnacentral:lncRNA from 1 species